rnacentral:rRNA from 1 species
CCCCGGUGAAUACGUUCCCGGGCCUUGUACACACCGCCCGUCAAGCCAUGAAAGCCGGGAGUACCCGAAGCCGCCUUAUAAGCGUCUAAGGUAAGACCGGUGAUUGGGGCUAAGUCGUAACAAGGUACCCUG